UACGUAGGGUGCAAGCGUUGUCCGGAAUUAUUGGGCGUAAAGAGCUCGUCGGCGGUUCGUCGCGUCGGCUGUGAAAACCCGGAGCUCAACUCCGGGCCUGCAGUCGAUACGGGCGGACUUGAGUGUUGCAGGGGAGACUGGAAUUCCUGGUGUAACGGUGAAAUGCGCAGAUAUCAGGAGGAACACCGGUGGCGAAGGCGGGUCUCUGGGCAACUACUGACGCUGAGGAGCGAAAGCGUGGGGAGCGAACAGG
rnacentral:rRNA from 1 species